rnacentral:rRNA from 1 species
GUGCAGCAGGCGAGAAACUUUACAAUGUGCGAAAGCACGAUAAGGGAACUCUGAGUGCCUCCUAAGGAGGCUGUUCAGGUGUCUAAAAGCACCUGAAGGAAGGGCUGGGUAAGACCGGUGCCAGCCGCCGCGGUAACACCGGCAGCCCAAGUGGUAGCCACGUUUAUUGGGUCUAAAGCGUCCGUAGCCGGCUGGGUAAGUUCCUUGGGAAAAUUUGGCUGCUUAACAGUCAAGCUUUCAGGGAAUACUGCCCGGCUUGGGACCGGGAGAGGUCAGAGGUACUCCAGGGGUAGGAGUGAAAUCCAUUAAAUCCUUGGGGGACCACCGGUAGCGAAGGCGUCUGACCAGACCGGGUCCGACGGUGAGGGACGAAGGCUAGGGGCGCGAAACCGGAUUAGAUACCCGUGUAGU